UCAAGCGAACAAGUGCAUGUGGUGGAUGCCUUGGCGAUCACAGGCGAUGAAGGACGCGGUAGCCUGCGAAAAGCUACGGGGAGCUGGCAAACAAGCUUUGAUCCGUAGAUGUCCGAAUGGGGAAACCCACUCCUUUUGGAGUAUCCAUGGCUGAAUACAUAGGCCAUGCGAAGCGAACGCGGUGAACUGAAACAUCUAAGUAACCGCAGGAAAAGAAAUCAACCGAGAUUCCCAAAGUAGUGGCGAGCGAAAUGGGAUGAGCCUUGCACUCUUUAUUUGUAUUGUUAGCCGAACGCUCUGGAAAGUGCGGCCAUAGCGGGUGAUAGCCCCGUAGGCGAAAACAGUAUGAAAGAACUAGGUGUGCGACAAGUAGGGCGGGACACGUGAAAUCCUGUCUGAAGAUGGGGGGACCAUCCUCCAAGGCUAAAUACUCGUGAUCGACCGAUAGUGAACCAGUACCGUGAGGGAAAGGUGAAAAGAACCCCGGGAGGGGAGUGAAAUAGAUCCUGAAACCGCAUGCAUACAAACAGUCGGAGCCUCGAAAGGGGUGACGGCGUACCUUUUGUAUAAUGGGUCAGCGACUUACGUUCAGUAGCAAGCUUAACCGUAUAGGGCAGGCGUAGCGAAAGCGAGUCCGAAUAGGGCGUUCAGUUGCUGGGCGUAGACCCGAAACCAAGUGAUCUAUCCAUGGCCAGGAUGAAGGUGCGGUAACACGUACUGGAGGUCCGAACCCACUAACGUUGAAAAGUUAGGGGAUGAGCUGUGGAUAGGGGUGAAAGGCUAAACAAACUUGGAAAUAGCUGGUUCUCUCCGAAAACUAUUUAGGUAGUGCCUCGUGUCUCACCUUCGGGGGUAGAGCACUGUCAUGGUUGGGGGGUCCAUUGCGGAUUACCCCGCCAUAGCAAACUCCGAAUACCGAAGAGUGCAAUCACGGGAGACAGACAUCGGGUGCUAACGUCCGGUGUCAAGAGGGAAACAACCCAGACCGCCAGCUAAGGUCCCCAAAUAUAGCUAAGUGGGAAACGAAGUGGGAAGGCUAAAACAGUCAGGAGGUUGGCUUAGAAGCAGCCACCCUUUAAAGAAAGCGUAAUAGCUCACUGAUCGAGUCGUCCUGCGCGGAAGAUGUAACGGGGCUAAGCUAUAUACCGAAGCUGCGGAUGCGUGCUUUGCACGCAUGGUAGGAGAGCGUUCCGUAAGCCUGCGAAGGUGCGUUGAAAAGCGUGCUGGAGGUAUCGGAAGUGCGAAUGCUGACAUGAGUAGCGAUAAAGGGGGUGAAAGGCCCCCUCGCCGUAAGCCCAAGGUUUCCUACGCAACGUUCAUCGGCGUAGGGUGAGUCGGCCCCUAAGGCGAGGCAGAAAUGCGUAGCUGAUGGGAAGCAGGUCAAUAUUCCUGCACCAUUGUUAGAUGCGAUGGGGGGACGGAUCGCGGAAGGUUGUCCGGGUGUUGGAAGUCCCGGU
rnacentral:rRNA from 1 species